rnacentral:rRNA from 1 species
GACGAACGCUGGCGGCGUGCCUAAUACAUGCAAGUAGAACGCUGAAGGAGGAGCUUGCUUCUCUGGAUGAGUUGCGAACGGGUGAGUAACGCGUAGGUAACCUGCCUGGUAGCGGGGGAUAACUAUUGGAAACGAUAGCUAAUACCGCAUAAGAGUAGAUGUCGCAUGACAUUUGCUUAAAAGGUGCAAUUGCAUCACUACCAGAUGGACCUGCGUUGUAUUAGCUAGUUGGUGAGGUAACGGCUCACCAAGGCAACGAUACAUAGCCGACCUGAGAGGGUGAUCGGCCACACUGGGACUGAGACACGGCCCAGACUCCUACGGGAGGCAGCAGUAGGGAAUCUUCGGCAAUGGACGGAAGUCUGACCGAGCAACGCCGCGUGAGUGAAGAAGGUUUUCGGAUCGUAAAGCUCUGUUGUAAGAGAAGAACGAGUGUGAGAGUGGAAAGUU